AUAAAGACAAAAAAUACAAUUUAUUUCAGCUUCUAAAAUAUUUUACUUAUAAUAAUGAUUUAAUAAAUUUCUAGUAGGUACCUGUGUAGGUAUUUGCUAUAUUUAUGACACAACGCCUUGUUUAAUUAAAGUUCAAUAUUACGAAUAGACCGCUCAUUGAAUGUUGUUUUAUGUGAACAUACAAGAAAAGCGCAAGAUGUACAUAAUUUGAACAACUGAAUAACUGUUUAAACUACUACUUAAACUUAUUUGGUAACAUAGAUAGGAACAAUAUAUCUAUUACUCGUAGUUGUACGAUGUUUAAUAAUAUAUAUUUUUUUCCGUUAAAUCAUCCAACAUUUAUCACCAUAAUUUGACUGCACAUAUAUUUAUAUGGACACAGUCUCACAUACUUGUUACAUGUAUUAGUCUUUGUAUUAGUAAAAGUAAGUUUUUAUUAUUACUUCUUCAGCGAUAUACAAAUACGUAGAAAAUUAUAGCAUAUAAAAUAAAUUAACGCAAAUGUUAUGUCGAUUUAUAAUUUACAAGCAAAGUCGUUGAUUUUACUGCGUUUCCAUGUACAUUGCGUUGCGUUAUAAAAUAUGCUUAUAAAUACAUACACAAAGAUUACAUAUAUCACAUCUGUAUACACGUGUAUGUAGCCCAUAAACCUAUUUACAGCAUUGUGCAAUAAAACUAACGGAUUCGCGUUCCUUGACAACGACUUCAAGUGACUACUUUAAAACUUAAUCUUCCACAUAAUUGGAUUCGAGGUAAGAUCAAGAAGUUUAAUUUAUGUUUUCGUGCACAACUUUACAUUUCACUAAAAUGCAGUGUUUACUACGGAAAUUAUGUCUCAAAAGUCAAACUAUUAACAUAGUUGCUAGCAGAGACACUUUAAACUUUUGCGGAAAAUACGCUGACGAAUUCUGUGGAUCCUGUCGUGUUCAGUAAGACCGACGCGGUCGGUCUCUUUCGCUCCACAAAAUCAUUGAGACCUUAAUGAUUAAAAAAAAUGUUAAGUACUAUUGAAUAUUUCGAUUUAAUUAUAUUUUUGAUAUCCAAUUAAAGUACAACAAUCAAAAUGAUAUUGGCAACUUUUCGUACGCUACUCUGUUGGCACGGAAACCGUCGCCGCGAAACUGACUAGCAGCGAACUCGUUAUUUUUUCC
rnacentral:misc_RNA from 1 species